GCAUUCCCGUCUGGAGACGAUCGGCUCCGGCGCAGGAAAGCAUCUUGUUGAUACGGAUGAUGUGGAAAGGGUGGCACCUGACGCGCAGGUGGAAGGCAUCCUUGCCGG
rnacentral:ribozyme from 14 species